rnacentral:rRNA from 1 species
UACGAAGGGGGCUAGCGUUACUCGGAAUCAUUGGGCGUAAAGCGUGCGUAGGCGGUCAAUUAAGUUAGGAGUGAAAUCCUGGGGCUCAACCCCAGAACUGCUCUUAAUACUGAUAGACUAGAGUGUCAGAGGGGACAGUAGAAUUCCUAGUGUAGGGGUGAAAUCCGUAGAUAUUAGGAGGAAUACCAGUGGCGAAAGCGACUGUCUGGCUGAAUACUGACGCUGUUGCACGAAAGCUAGGGGAGCGAACCGGA